GCCAGAUGCCACGUCCUGCUGAGCCAAGAGCAAGCAAUGGCAAUGGGGGUGAAUCUCAAGACCAUGCUGCCUUUUGGAUGCAUGGCAAAGGCAGGAGCCUGGAUGCUUCUCAGGUGGGUGCCCUCUAAUUGAGCCAAAUGAAGAGCCCUAUUAAUUCCAUGCAGGGGAUGCGGCAGCAGCACCGGCUUGGGAAUCCUUCCAUCACCUCCUGCCUGAUCCCGGUGUCCGGAGUGGGGGACAAGGAAACUGGCAUUGAAGGGGGGGGAAUUAUUACCCUUUGCUGUGAUUAAUGCACCCGCCCCAUUGGAGGGCAGAGUCCAGAGGCACCUUACAGGAACAUGGGUUAUCCUGGCACAAACCCCCAGGGCUAUCCAAGGUCGGUGGUUACAGACUGAGAUUUGCUUUGCUGUUACUUCUGAGCACAUUUCAUUUUGAAUAAUUUAAACUCUCUUUUCCAAGAUAUUAAAGUUAAGCACUUGAA